rnacentral:rRNA from 1 species
UGGCUCAGGAUGAACGCUAGCUACAGGCUUAACACAUGCAAGUCGAGGGGCAGCAUGGUCUUAGCUUGCUAAGGCUGAUGGCGACCGGCGCACGGGUGAGUAACACGUAUCCAACCUGCCGUCUACUCUUGGCCAGCCUUCUGAAAGGAAGAUUAAUCCAGGAUGGGAUCAUGAGUUCACAUGUCCGCAUGAUUAAAGGUAUUUUCCGGUAGACGAUGGGGAUGCGUUCCAUUAGAUAGUAGGCGGGGUAACGGCCCACCUAGUCAACGAUGGAUAGGGGUUCUGAGAGGAAGGUCCCCCACAUUGGAACUGAGACACGGUCCAAACUCCUACGGGAGGCAGCAGUGAGGAAUAUUGGUCAAUGGGCGAUGGCCUGAACCAGCCAAGUAGCGUGAAGGAUGACUGCCCUAUGGGUUGUAAACUUCUUUUAUAAAGGAAUAAAGUCGGGUAUGCAUACCCGUUUGCAUGUACUUUAUGAAUAAGGAUCGGCUAACUCCGUGCCAGCAGCCGCGGUAAUACGGAGGAUCCGAGCGUUAUCCGGAUUUAUUGGGUUUAAAGGGAGCGUAGAUGGAUGUUUAAGUCAGUUGUGAAAGUUUGCGGCUCAACCGUAAAAUUGCAGUUGAUACUGGAUGUCUUGAGUGCAGUUGAGGCAGGCGGAAUUCGUGGUGUAGCGGUGAAAUGCUUAGAUAUCACGAAGAACUCCGAUUGCGAAGGCAGCCUGCUAAGCUGCAACUGACAUUGAGGCUCGAAAGUGUGGGUAUCAAACAGGAUUAGAUACCCUGGUAGUCCACACGGUAAACGAUGAAUACUCGCUGUUUGCGAUAUACGGCAAGCGGCCAAGCGAAAGCGUUAAGUAUUCCACCUGGGGAGUACGCCGGCAACGGUGAAACUCAAAG